GGGUCUGUAGGUCGGUCGUGCCACUGGUAUGAACUGGUUUUACUGAUUCCUCCCUCUUGAAGAACCACGAUGUCAUUAAUUUGGUGUCUUGGGGAAUCAGGACUGUUACUUUGAAAAAAUUAGAGUGUUUAAAGCAGGCUCACGCUUGAAUACAUUAGCAUGGAAUAAUGAAAUAGGACGUUUGAUUCUAUUUUGUUGGUUUCUAGGAUUGACGUA
rnacentral:rRNA from 1 species